UUUUUUUUUUUUUCCAUGAUUAGCAUUUUGGCAGUUUUCACUGUUCUAUUCUGCUGUUCUGUGUGCCCAGGGGAGGCCAAGAGUUGAGCUUUUCCAAAAUCAGGGUAGGGCUGUGUGGAGAAAAACUACAGCUGAAAGGGCACUUUCUUUAUGUAGAUUCUCCACACUCAGGGAAGCAGAGGUUGUGAAUAUGAUUAGGGGGAAGUAACAGCCCCGUGAGAUCGAGGCUCACGUGAGUCACGGAGUGUGGAAAUGUUCUUACCAGAUGAUACUCAGGAUGCAGGAGAUUUUCUGUCUCCCAGAAUCAGCUGAGCUUGUGAAAUUCUUCACAAUCCAGUUUCGCUGAGCUGCAGAAGGAGGCCCUGCUCUCGGUUAUGAAUUUAGUCCGCCUGAGAUAAAAAUGGGGUCACGAUGUUCAUUUGACACCUUGUUAAUUUCUGCUGCAGCCAAAGCCAACCAAAUUCGCUUAUAUGCAGUAACAUGACUUACUCUUUUUAAAAUAAUGCUAUAAUAGAACCAAAGUCUGUUUUUCAUUUUUGGUGAGUUACUGGAGUAGAACAGAGAAACAAAGCAGCCACAAGCUCACAGGGACAAAGGUCUCUUUUUCCACUUGUGAAAUUGACAUCAGCAACUCAGAAGUCAGUCUUCCUGGGCUGAUGGCUUUGUGCUUGAAAGAGAAUUGCCUGUGGUUCUUUUCAGUUUUUAUUUAACCAAGAAUGACCCAUAAUUGAUAUUUUUAGGUAAGAUUUUAUGUCACAGAUUUAAAAUAGUUCACUGUUUUAUUUCACAGAACAUAUUCUAUUCAUAUUUUUAUUCAUAUUUACAGACUACAGUUUCCUUGCAUUAUAGAGAUUCAUUUUAAAUGUGUAGAAUCAGGGAAUUAGAAACCAACCUGAGAUAAAUAAGCAUUGUACCAUACCCAGAAUAGAGAAAAAAAAUCAAGAAAUAAUCUUUAGGAGUUUUGAUAAAGAAUGAAUGCAGGUAGCCAUUCAUAAUCAAAAGACUUCCCAGGUUUCAGUUACUGAAAUGCCUUUAUUUUCACAAUUAAAUACUAAAUACAACCUAAAUCCUGAUAUAUUUUUGAUAUAUAUUAAGAUGCAUUAAGAUGAUGCUGCCACUUCACAUGAUGAAAUAAAAUGUUUUAUUCAAAACAAAACCCAAAAUUUUCCAGUUAAAUAUUGUUUACUUUUUGUCUUUUUAUGGCCGCACCCUCAGCAUAUGGAGGUUCCCAGGCUAGGGGACAAAUCAAAGCUGUAGCUGCUGGCCUACACCACAGCCAUAGCAACACUGCAUCUGAGCUGCAUCUGCAACCUAUACCACAGCUCAUGGCAAUGGAUCCUUAACCCAGUGAGCAAGGCCAGGGAUUGAACCUGUAUCUUCAUGGAUGCUAAUCAGUUUGUUAACCACUGAGCCACAACGGGAACUCCUGAUUAUUAUAUUUACACUGUUUCCAUAAUUACUGAAACUGCUAUUUAUGCAAAUUAUUCUGCCUAUAUUAUUCAUCUAUCUGCUACUUAUCUAUCUAUCUGUAAUAUAUUAAUUACACAUUGUAUAGUAUAUUGCCAAAUGAUAUGUUAGUUUACAAUAUUAGUUCUUCCUUUCCAUUUUCUGCCUCUGCAGAAAUACUUCUGAUUUGUUUUACUUCUUGAAUCAGACAUAGCUCCAGCUCCUGAAAUAAUCCAUCCAAAAGCAGGAACUAGAUAAAAUCAUAAAGUUGCCUCUCCUCACAUCUUUCCUUUAUUCCAAUCCUUUGGUGUUUAAUAUUUGUUAUACCUUAAGUCACUGGAGUGUUUUACCAGUCUCCUGGAAAACUUAUAAAAAUUUGAGAGCCUUCCUGGCCAUCUUCCAAGUACUUCUGAUUCAACUAGCCUGAGGUGGGCCCCAGGCGGGCAGGGCAUCUGCAUAGGAAACGACCUCACAGGUGGUUCUGAUUCAAAGACAGUUCUUUAAGAACUGUGAUCUUAUAAAGAGCACAUCACAGGCUUUUGUACUGCAGCUCGCCCUCCUGGAAUUAAAUUCCCUCAGAACAUGAUCUAAUGAUUAUAACUAAUAAAACUGCAUCAUAUACUUGAAUGUUGCUAAGAGGAGUAGACCCUAAAUCUUCACACCACAAAAAAGAAGUGGUAAUUAUGUGAUGGAAUAAAGUUGUUAGAUAAUGCAAUGAUGGUAGUAGUUUUUUAAUUUAUAAAUAUAUCAAAUCAACGCUUUGUACACCUUAAACUUACACAAUGUUCUGUGUCAAUUAUAUCUCAAUAAAACUGGAGGAAAAAACAAGCAAAAAAUCAAACAAAAAUAAAACAAAGAAUCUGGAAAAAAACAAAAACAAAAACAAAAAACCCAAAAAAACCUCAAGCCCCAAAUCUUCCCCAGAACAGAGAGCCAAAACCCGUGAUUCUUGAUCUUCUCUCUCAGAAAUGAACAUGGUCAUGUUGGGGUUAUGAAUGAAAUAAUCAUCAAGACAGCUGGAUUUCCAACACUAGGGGGCAGAUUAACUGAAUAACGACAUUCCAACUACGUUGAUCCUCAAAGCCCUCACCUUAUUAUCAGCCAUCUGUCCUCUGACCCCUUGUUGUUGACAGUUACCUGGAUCACACAUGGAAUUUGCUCUGCCUUUUUGCACACUGUGUCUAUGUGUCUGUUUACUCCUAGAUAAUCAGAGUCUAUGUGCUGGUUAGAUCCACGGAGUCCUCUCUUGGUCUAACAGGUGUCAUGCGCUAGAUUCCAGAGCCUGACUUUUCCAUGCCUGCUGUGUAUACAUCAUUACCAUGCCUUACAAACUCUCCUCAAAGAAAUGAAUAGUAAUUUUUCUUAGCUCUUUGAGAUCUUGGGUUAGGCAAAGAUGAAAGAAUUAUAAAAUAAAGUUUGCUAAAUUGGACACAAUAAAAAUGAAAAGCUUUUGCUCUUUGAAAGAUACUAUAAAAAUGAAAAGAAAACCAGAAGCUAGAAAAAAAUAUUUACAAAACACAUAUGCAAUAAAUAUAUGAUAACUAACUGGCUUCCAGAUGUAUAAAGAAUACUUAAUAAUUAAGGAAUGAAUAUUUCACUAUUAAGAAAAUAAACCACCAAAUAUUUAAAAACAAAAAUUUGAACAAAUGCUUCAUCAACAAUGCUAUAUGGAUGGCAAAUAAACAUGCCAAAAGAUACCAACUACCAUUAGUCAAUUAGUCAUUAGAAAAAUUCAAAUUAAAACUUUAAUGAGAUCUCACUUUUCUUUUAAAAAUGAUAAAAAACAAACAAACAAAAAACAGGUAACAAUAUCAGGUGUUGCUAAAAUAUGAAGCAACUGAAAUUUCAUAAAGUUCUUACGGCAAUGAAAAAUGGCACAACCACUUUGCAGAAUAGUUUGGCAAUUUCUUACCAUCUUAAACACACACUUACCAUACAUUGCAGCAGUCCUACCUACCCAGAAGAAAUGAAAACAUAUGUAUAUACAAAAACCUGCAGUCAUAUGUUUAUAGCAACUUUACUCAUAACCGUCAAAGUCUGGAAAUAACUCAAAUGUCCAUCAAUUGUAGAAUGGAUCAGCAAAUAAUGCUACCUUCAAAUAAUGAGAUAUUAGUCAGCAAUAAAGGAAACUUUGCAUGUACACAAAGUGAUAGAUGACUAUCAGAUGCACUUGGAUUUGUAGAAGCUAGUCCCACAAGCUAAAUACUGUAUAAAUCCAUUUGUAUAAUAUUCUGGUAAAAGCAAAAUAAGAGGAACAGGACAUAGACCACUAGUUGCCAGAGUCUAGGAUGGGAAGAGGAAAUUGAUUACAAGGGUGCAUAAGGGGAUUUUUCAAUAUGAUGAAAACGAUCUAUGUUUUUAUUCUGAUGAAUGUAUGUGUUAGGUUCGCCUCAGGAAAAACGGAAAAAAUGAAACCUGAUUCCAAGCUCUCCCCCCGACUCCUGGAAACAUACCUAAGACAUGACUAGGUCUUCCCCAAAAUCAUGUGACCCAAACUUUAAGACUACCUCACCUAGGAGAGUGUCUAAACCCCUGCAGAUUGGUCUGUUCCUUUUUCACCCUAUUUACAUAGUUUGUUGAAAGUAAACAGAUUGGUCUGUUCCUUUUCACUCUAUUUUGCAUAAAAAAUGGCCAAUCAGCUUCUGCACAGAAACCCCCUUUCUUGGCACCCACACAUAACCACCCUCCUCAAAUGGCUGGCUGAUCCCUUUGUGAAUCAGCAGGACAGUAUACCCCACUAAUAAAGUCUUUUAUGCCUGAAUUUGGGUCUCAUCCUUUUGGCCAAACUUACAGUAUGCAUUUGUCAAAAUUCAUAGAAAUACGCACCUAAAAAGGGUGAAUUUUAUUGUGCACAAUGUAUACCUCAAAAAAACGAACUUCAAAAAUAAAGCUAAAUUUUGUCAAAUAUGGCAAGAACUAGAUCUUCUCAUGGAACACCCCCCUGUGAAUUUGUAGCGUAAUAGAAAGCACUCUUUUCCCUUCUAUACUCUUUUAAGAUAUAGGGUUAUUUUUGCAAUUAAAUUUCUUCCAAUUCAAAUCCCAUAAUCUUUAAAAUUAGACUUUUCCUGACCUCGUGGUGGUAGACCAUGAAUGAGUUGAAAAUAUUUUCCCUUAAUAGUUUUUAAGGAUCUGAGAUGGAGAAUAGGAAUAAAUGUUGUGAUAAUCAUACCAUUUUAAGUAGUCUAAUUCUGUGCAAUUUAAUGACAUCUAGAAUGACUAGUUUCUAUCAGAGUCAUGUGUGUUUGCCUGGCAGUACAAUACAGACAUGCACAUGAAACACAGGAAAUGGAUUGGGAACAUUCCCCU
rnacentral:lncRNA from 1 species